GGAGUGUAGCUCAGUGGUAGAGUGCGUGCUUAGCAUGCAAGAGGUCCUGGGUUCAAUCCCCAGUGCCUCCA
rnacentral:tRNA from 1 species